GGAUACAUGGCCCGUGGGCUGGUGCAGGCAGGCGCCGGAUGUCUUCUUCUUUUCCUCGCUGCCGCUUGGGAGCCUGCACCAGGAAAGAGGCAGUCUAAGUAGACCGGCCGCGAAGGAAUAGCGCAAGGGCAGGCCGAGGUACUUACUUGUCGCCGGCGCCCACUUCCUCUUCUUCUUGGUGGCGGGAGGAGCAUCUCCGCCACCUUCGCGCGCCGCCUCGCUAGCGCCAGGGGGGCGCUUGUCGAGGUCUUCGUCGGGCUCUCCCCGGCCUCCCUCCUCACCUGGAGCCUGAGAGGGCCCCUGGGGGAACGCGGCCUUCGUCGAGGGAGGUGCGACACCAUCGCUGGGGGCUCCCGUCCUUGACACCUCGACCGUCGCGGAGCCCGGCCCCGCUCUGUCUCCGGAGGUCGCGGGCUCAGGAGGUACCGUCUGGUGCCGCUCGUCAGCAACUGCGUCGUCCCCAAGGCCGCGCAAGGACGGAUGAAGGUCGGGCGACGGAAUCCGGCCGGUGUCUUCCUCUUCACCCUCUGCCGCCUUCGAAUCCUGGUCGCUGCUGCCCCCGCUUGAGGACGAAACCGUGAUGGGGGAGCCCUCGGGUGGCCCGGCGAGCCCCCAUUCAUCGA
rnacentral:lncRNA from 1 species